rnacentral:lncRNA from 1 species
CUCAGAGCUUAAACCAGAGCCUAGAACACACAGGAAGGUCCUGGAGCUUAAACCAGAGCCUAGAACACCCAGGAAGGUCCCAGGGCUUAAACCAGAGCCUAGAACACACAGGAAGGUCUCAGAGCUUAAACCAGAGCCUAGAACACACAGGAAGAUCCUGGAGCUUAAACCAGAGCCUAGAACACACAGGAAGGUCCCGGAGCUUAAACCAGAGCCUAGAACACACAGGAAGAUCCUGGAGCUUAAACCAGAGCCUAGAACACACAGGAAGGUCCCGGAGCUUAAACCAGAGCCUAGAACACACAGGAAGGUCCCAGGGCUUAAACCAGAGCCUAGAACACACAGAAAGGUCCCGGAGCUUAAACCAGAGCCUAGAACACACAGAAAGGUCUUGGUGCUUAAAUCAGCAACUGCUAUCAAACAAAGAAGCCAAAGUUCCACAGACAGACCGUGUCUCAAAAAGUCAAAACCAAGCCAAAUCAAAACAAUUAUUAACACGCAGGGAAGGUCC